rnacentral:misc_RNA from 1 species
AUGGCAGAGGACAAAGGCAUAGCAGAAGGAGGAAAGAAUGGGCCAAGAGUAAUUGAUGAAAAGAAGCCCAAGGGUAUUAUGUCUCGUAUUUGGAAUGGCAUUUUUAGAUUCCAUGGCGACAAUGUUGAGAAGAGACUGCACAGCAUUUCUAAGGAAGAAGCUGCUGUUUUAUCAAGGAUGAAAAGGAGAUCCCUUACAUGGAGGAAGAUGACUAGGCAUCUCAUUAUUUUCUCGGUCAUUUUUGAGGUAAUUGCAGUAGGCUAUGCUAUUAUGACGACAAGAUCAAUGGAUUUGAAUUGGAAGAUGAG